CGAAGUAAAAGUCGUAACAAGGUCUCCGUAGGUGAACCUGCGGAGGGAUCAUUACAGAGUUCAUGCCCUACCGGGUAGAUCUCCCACCCUAUGUUAUUAUUACUUUGUUGCUUUGGCGGGCCGUUAGGCUCCGGCCCGACUACCGGCCCCGGCUGGUAAGCGCCCGCCAGAGGACCCAAAACCCUGAAUAUUAGUGUCGUCUGAGUACUAUAUAAUAGUUAAAACUUUCAACAACGGAUCUCUUGGUUCUG
rnacentral:misc_RNA from 1 species